rfam:Macleaya cordata isolate BLH2017 scaffold1771, whole genome shotgun sequence.
GGGGGUGUAGCUCACAUGGUAGAGCGAUCGCUUAGCAUGCGAAAGGUCCGGGGUUCAAUUCCCCGCUCCUCCA